rnacentral:rRNA from 1 species
AUUGAACGCUGGCGGCAGGCUUAAUACAUGCAAGUCGAGCGGGGAGAUGUAGCUUGCUACAUUUCCUAGCGGCGGACGGGUGAGUAAUGCUUAGGAAUCUGCCUAUUAGUGGGGGACAACAUUCCGAAAGGAAUGCUAAUACCGCAUACGCCCUACGGGGGAAAGCAGGGGAUCUUCGGACCUUGCGCUAAUAGAUGAGCCUAAGUCAGAUUAGCUAGUUGGUGGGGUAAAGGCCUACCAAGGCGACGAUCUGUAGCGGGUCUGAGAGGAUGAUCCGCCACACUGGGACUGAGACAAGGCCCAGACUCCUACGGGAGGCAGCAGUGGGGAAUAUUGGACAAUGGGCGCAAGCCUGAUCCAGCCAUGCCGCGUGUGUGAAGAAGGCCUUUUGGUUGUAAAGCACUUUAAGCGAGGAGGAGGCUACCGAGAUUAAUACUCUAGGAUAGUGGACGUUACUCGCAGAAUAAGCACUGGCUAACUCUGUGCCAGCAGCCGCCGUAAAAC